UACGGAGGGUGCAAGCGUUAUCCGGAUUCACUGGGUUUAAAGGGUGCGUAGGAGGGCAGGUAAGUCAGUGGUGAAAUCCCCCGAGCUUAACUUGGGAACUGCCGUUGAUACUAUCUGUCUUGAAUAUCGUGGAGGUGAGCGGAAUAUGUCAUGUAGCGGUGAAAUGCUUAGAUAUGACAUAGAACACCAAUUGCGAAGGCAGCUCGCUACACGAAUAUUGACUCUGAGGCGCGAAAGCGUGGGGAGCAACAGG
rnacentral:rRNA from 1 species